rnacentral:rRNA from 1 species
CAGUAGGGAGACUGGAAUUCCUGGUGUAGCGGUGAAAUGCGCAGAUAUCAGGAGGAACACCGAUGGCGAAGGCAGGUCUCUGGGCUGUUACUGACGCUGAGGAGCGAAAGCAUGGGGAGCGAACAGGAUUAGAUACCCUGGUAGUCCAUGCCGUAAACGUUGGGCACUAGGUGUGGGGGACAUUCCACGUUCUCCGCGCCGUAGCUAACGCAUUAAGUGCCCCGCCUGGGGAGUACGGCCGCAAGGCUAAAACUCAAAGGAAUUGACGGGGGCCCGCACAAGCGGCGGAGCAUGCGGAUUAAUUCGAUGCAACGCGAAGAACCUUACCAAGGCUUGACAUCCACCGGACCGCACUGGAGACAGUGCUUCCCUUCGGGGCUGGUGGACAGGUGGUGCAUGGUUGUCGUCAGCUCGUGUCGUGAGAUGUUGGGUUAAGUCCCGCAACGAGCGCAACCCUCGUUCUAUGUUGCCAGCACGUGAUGGUGGGGACUCAUAGGAGACUGCCGGGGUCAACUCGGAGGAAGGUGGGGAUGACGUCAAAUCAUCAUGCCCCUUAUGUCUUGGGCUUCACGCAUGCUACAAUGGCCGGUACAAAGGGUUGCGAUACUGUGAGGUGGAGCUAAUCCCAAAAAGCCGGUCUCAGUUCGGAUUGAGGUCUGCAACUCGACCUCAUGAAGUCGGAGUCGCUAGUAAUCGCAGAUCAGCAACGCUGCGGUGAAUACGUUCCCGGGCCUUGUACACACCGCCCGUCAAGUCACGAAAGUUGGUAACACCCGAAGCCGGUGGCCUAACCCCUUGUGGGAGGGAGCCGUCGA